rnacentral:lncRNA from 1 species
UGGAUCCCCCAAACCCAGACUUCUUUUCUUCCAAUUUAUAGUCCGUUUAUUGUUCUUCCUUGCAGAGGGUGUGCUUACACUGAAUGGAAGUCCUUGUACGAGAUGAAUGGGACCAUUUUUUUCCAUACACUGGAUGAUCCUCAUGUUGAAAGGGGGCCUCCCCUGCCCUCCCCCGCCCCCAGUAUUCAAUACUAUGUCGGCUUUUCUUUUUGGCUGGUACAUUCUGAUCCCUUAUCCCGAGCUUUCUCAACUCCCCCACUCUUGUUGGCCAAAGUUUCAAUCAGCUUCCUGCAUCUAAAGAGCAGCCACUUACACCGACUCUUGAAUCAGCAAUGUUUCCAUCCUAGAUCGCUUCCGCCAUCCUGCCGCUCCCCCCGAAUCUGGGAUGCAGGCUCAGCCGCCCAUCCCACGUUAAGCAAAUUACCAGAGUUUGGUGGUUUUUAGUAGAGUUCUGGAGGUUUCUUACAGCCUUAUUAUAGUGAAUUAACAACCCACAGACAGUGAUUAAAACCCACUUAUAACAAGCUUGCAAGUUAUUCUGUGCAAAAGGCAAUAAAAUCACAGUCAUUUGCUUUCCGAUGCAAAAAAAAGAGGGGGCGCCAAGGAAAUACAGUCACAUUAAAACUCUUGUUUUCCCUACA